rnacentral:lncRNA from 1 species
CUGGAGUCUAAUUAACCAUGGGCUUCAAUUUUAAGCUCUGAAAAUAGCAAGGGCCAAGGAUUCCUGCUGUUGGCCUAAACUGUGAGAGCUGUCUCCCUUUGCCUAUGGAGUGAGGAGGAAAAGACCUGCAGAGAAGCAAGCAAGAGAGAGAGACUGACUCUGGGGGGAGGCCAGGCUACCUCCUUAGUCCCGGCUUGGCAUCCUCACCCUGAUCCUGGAAUGUACUGAUACCCAGGAGUUCUGAAGCCUGCUGAACGUUCCUCAGGGACUGGUAGAGUUGUGAAUGCUAAGCUCUGGUCAAAGUUGAGACAAGUCUCUGGGAAGCUAACAGCAUAUAUCACAAUUCUGUAAACAGCUCGUCCUUCUGAGCACUGAUACCAACAAACGGAUGCAUGGAAACAGAAAGCUCCUGCAAGUCAAUUGAAUGUCUAACUGGCCCUGGCCUGCUCACAUGUAUUAGCCUUGCUAGCUAGCAUCUUCCAGUCCCCCUCUUCUCUUGCAUGGACAGAAGUCAACUUGUGGUGAGAUCCUGGCAUGGAAACAACUCACCAUACAAAGCGAGGACAUUUCAGUCUCUUAGAUCUUGACUGUGAUUCGAUGGUACACAACAUGGAGGAAGCAGACUGUGAAUAUGCCUGUCACCAACACCCUGGAGCACAUCAAAGAAAAGGAGAACGGAGAGAUCUUAAAUCUGGCCACCUCUCAUUUUUCAUUAGU